GGGUUGUGAGGUUAAGCGACUAAGCGUACACGGUGGAUGCCCUGGCAGUCAGAGGCGAUGAAGGACGUGCUAAUCUGCGAAAAGCGUCGGUAAGGUGAUAUGAACCGUUAUAGCCGGCGAUGUCCGAAUGGGGAAACCCAGUGCAAUUCGUUGCACUAUCGUUAACUGAAUACAUAGGUUAACGAGGCGAACCGGGGGGAACUGAAACAUCU
rnacentral:rRNA from 1 species